GUGCAGCCAUCUACUUUUUAUAAGUCUAUCUAUGUAUCUAUCUAUCUAUCUAUCUAUCUAUAUAUAGCUAUAUAUAUAUAUAUAUAUAUAUAUAUAGAGAGAGAGAGAGAGAGAGAUAGACUUAUAAAAAGUAGAUGGCUGCACUAUUUUA